AUGCCUAUUGUAAUACUUUGCCCUUUUAGGAGCGUCAGCAGCAUCUUCAAAAAGAAGGCCAGGCUUUGGGACAUAUAUCCCCUUGCAGUUCUGUGUCAGUGCAGGUUCCUCAGAUUCUCUGGGACUGUUUUUCUCAGUCAAACGCAUCAUUGUACUUUGUUCUUGGUAGACCUUCCUGCUUCCCAUCUGACAAAAUCUCUGAGUACUUGCUUGUUUGCAAAGGAUUUUAUUUUUCCUUCACUUAUGAAGCUUAGUUUGGCUGGAUAUGAAAUUCUGGGUUGAAAAUUCUUUUCUUUAAGGAUGUUGAAUAUUGGCCCCUACUCUCUUCUGGCUUGUAGAGCUUCUGCUGAGAGAUCUGCUGUGAGUCUGAUGGGCCUCCCUUUGUGGGUAACCCAAUCUUUCUCUCUGACUGCCGUUAGCAUUUUCUCCCUCAUUUCAACCCUGGUGAAUCUGAUGAUUAUGUGCCUUGGGGUUGCUCUUCUUGACAGAUAUUGAUGUGGUGUUCUCCGUAUUUCAUGGAUUUGAAUAUUGGCUUGCCUUGCUAGGUUGGGGAAGUUUUCCUGGAUAAUGUCCUGAAUAGUAUUUUCCAGCUUGGAUUCAUUCUCUCUGUCACAUUCGGGUACACCUAUGAAAUAUAGAUUAGGUCUUUUCACAUAGUCACAUAUUUCUUGGAGACUUUGUUUAUUCCUUUUUACCCUUUUUUCUCUAAUCUUGCCUUCUUGUUUUAUUUCAUUGGGUUGAUCUUCGACCUCUGAUAUCCUUUUUUCUCCUUGGUCAAUUAGGCUGUUGAAAUUUGUGUAUGGUUUGCGAAGUUCUCGUGUUGUGUUUUUCAGCUCCAUCAAUUCACUUAUAUUCCUCUCUAAGUUGUUGAUUCUUGUUAGCAUUUCAUCAAAUAUUUUCUCAACAUUCUUAGUUUCUUUGCAUUGGGUUAGAACAUGUUCUUUUAGCUCACGGAAGUUUCUCAUUACCCACCUUCUGAAGCCUGAUUCUGUCAAUUCAUCACACUCAUUGUCUAUCCAACCUUGUUCUCUUGCUGAUGAGGAGUAGUGAUCCCUUGUAGGAGGAGAGGCAUUCUGCUUUCAGGUGUUUUCAUCCUUUUUGUGCUGAUUUCUUCCCAUCUUUGUGUAUUCAUCCACCUGUCAUCUUUGUAGUAGUUGACUUUCAGAUUGGGUCUCUGAGUGGAUGUCCAGUUUGUUGAUGAUGAAGUUAUUUCUUUCUGUUUCUUAGAGUUUUCCUUCUAACAGUCUGGCCUCUCUGCUGUAGGACUGCUGAGGUCCACUCCAUGCCCUGCUUGCCUGGGGAUCAUGUGCAGUGGCUGUAGAACAGUAAGGGUUGCUGCCAGUUUCUUCUUCUGCUAUCUUUGUCCCAGAAGGAUACCCACCAGAUGUCAGUCUGAGCUCUCCUUUAUGAGGUGACUCUUUGGAUAUAUGGGGGUCAGGGAGCUGCUUGAUGAGACAGUCUCUCCUUUAUAGGAGCUCAAGUGCUGAGCUGUGAGCUCCAUUGUUCAUUCAGAGCCGUGGGGCAGGUAUAUUCAAGUUUGCUGUAGCAGAACUCAUAACCCCACCCACCCUUUUUUUCCCCCAGGUGCUCUGUCCCAGGGUUUUAGGGCUUUAUUUAUGAGUUUCUGUUGAGCUGCUACCUUUUUUCAGGGCUGCCCUGCCUAGCAAAGAGGCAGCCUAGUCACUAUCUGCCUGCAGAGGCUUUGCUGAGCUGGGGUGGGCUCUGCCCAGCUGCCAUGUGAACUUCCCUGCAGUCCUGUUUAUACGCAUGUAGUUAGAACUGCCUUGGC
rnacentral:lncRNA from 1 species